CAACAUCUUCUUGGCGCAACAGACCCCAGUGUGCCCUCGCCCCACCCAUACUUACCAAAGGAGGGCUGCCCAUUGGAGUAUGGAACUAUUCUGGGACUUAUUUUUAUGUUCAGUUGCUGAGGUUCUAACGUAAGGGAACGGAGAUUGGACGGAACUGGCACUGCCUGGCAUUCUCCCACUUUUGGUGAACUGGAUUUGCUUAAUGUGACUUGAAGGUUAUUCCUACAAAUCUAUUUCCGUCAGGAUCAACACAAACUUGGCACUGCAGAAGGGGCUCUAGCUCGAGGGAUGUUUAAAAGGGAAGCGUCAAGCCUGCUUCUCCCCACGUCUCACGCCUCGGGCGCUUGCCUGCUCGACUGUUAAUGAUCACCUUAGGUCCUGAAGCAGAUGAUUUGAAGCCCCCAGUGACAGUCUCAACUUCAGACAAAGCUUCUGGUUUCUACUUUUCUUUCUUAUUAAAUGUUUUUGAGGGAGAGAUUCAGCAAAUCUGUAAAACAGUUUGAUAGAAAAGCAAAAUCUUAGAAUGCCGGAAAGGGGGUGGGGUGGGAUGUCAGUCCAUCAUGUAAUCCAGCUCUUUGCUUCCAGAAAGAUCCGAGGACCUAACCAGCCCCUCCUGUUUCUAAAGGUCUAUGGGAAUGAAACUUGUUCACUGAAGGCAGCAUUUGUCAACCAAGUCUCACUUCCUAGCCUGUUGCUGCUUAUCUGGUUUCCUCUAGGUUCAAGUCCUGGGACCAGGGAGACAAGCUGGUCAGCGGCCUCCAGGAUGACGGGUUUAACGGCACUGGUGUGCCAGGAUUCUAGAGAGCAAGAGCUUCUUCCUCGGAAUAAAGAGCUUUCUCUGGAUAAAGUGUCACCUCACCGCUGUCUAAUAUGCCCCAGAAGAGCCUUUCUCUGGGUCCUGCUCGGCAAAUAUGGCUUGGGACCGUUCUGCCUUGCUGAUGCAACAUCUGGCCAGCAUUCGAGGUUGUUUCUCAAGGACACAAUCGUGCACCUCCGAUGAAUUUCAACUUUCAACAUCUCUCUGUCUCUAAUCUAUAUUUAAUGUUUCAUGACUGGUAGUCAAAGACGCUCCAGCUAAAUAUCAGAUUGGAAUGAAAAUGAUCCUUGGGAGAACAUUUGCUUCCAGCAUACGCCAGCAAAGUGUCUGUGACAGAGCCUUUCCCUAGAGACUUGUUGCCCAUUCUCUAGCAGUAAUAAUAAUUAUGCCUUAUGAUUGCUGUGCCCACAUAAUCACAGAUCACUUCAUCAAUGCAAUCCCGAGGGGAAACCGCCUCUAUUCCUCACUGGAUGUCAGUCACAGAGAGCUGCACCCCUAGGGAUCCCCAAUCUUUCUCUUGCCCUUUUCAGGGCUGUGUUGUUAGCAUUGUGUUGCUUCCUAUUCUUCCUGAUGCAAAUGAUGUGUAAAUCAUGCCCUCCAGAAGGCACAUGUGGUGAGAGGAGAGAGGGAAAAGGGGCGAGAAGCCGGGGUAUUCUUCUCCCUUGCCCCCUCCCCAAUCUACCACAGGGAUUUCUCACAUGGAACAUAAUUACAUCUGUGCCAUAUGGGCUCAUUUAUAUUCUAUUACAGGUUAAGCUAAUACGACUCAGAAAUAUGCUAAAAAUACCUCAAAGUAUUCUAGAGCUGUCAAAAUGCCUGCCACUUCUGGCUCAUUCGUUUGAUUGCUAGUGUUUUUAUUUUUGUUGGGAGAUUCAGAGAGCUAGGAAAACGUGCUGGCAUGCUGCUGUCCAGUCUGUAAAUGCACCUUAAUUUCCUGUAUUAUUGCAAUCUUUGGGUGUGUAAAGAAAAGAACAUCUUUAAAAUCCUGGAAUGGCCCCAAGAUAUGGGCAUUGAAGCCCCUACACUUGUGGAUUUUAAUUUCCCAAGAGAUGGAAAAUACAGAUUUCAGAUGUGUGGUUUUGUCA